CAGUCGCCGCGGUAAUACAGAGGGUGCGAGCGUUAAUCGGAUUUACUGGGCGUAAAGCGUGCGUAGGCGGCUUCUUAAGUCGGAUGUGAAAUCCCUGAGCUUAACUUAGGAAUUGCAUUCGAUACUGGGAAGCUAGAGUAUGGGAGAGGAUGGUAGAAUUCCAGGUGUAGCGGUGAAAUGCGUAGAGAUCUGGAGGAAUACCGAUGGCGAAGGCAGCCAUCUGGCCUAAUACUGACGCUGAAGUACGAAAGCAUGGGGAGCAAACAGGAUUAGAUACCCCAGUAGUCCCUGUCUCUUAUAA
rnacentral:rRNA from 1 species